AUCCAUAUAACAUCGGAGUAGAGAGAUAUUUGCAGUUUCGCAAGGCUGCGUAGACGGCAUAAGUGACAAGUAGGUGUGUCACUCAAACUUUUUAAGAAAUAAACUUUAUCUGUUAUAUGAGUUAUUUUGGGAUAUAUUAUAUAUCAAAUUGAAGUCUUGGAAUGUAGUCUUUGACACUCUUAACCAUUUGUUCAUACGAUAUUUGGAUAAAAAGAUAUAACCGUCGAAAGAAAGGCUAAUGCUAGGGUGCCAAGCUAGCACCUCUUUGGUUUUUCAAAAGUAAGUAUAUGUGUGUGUGUGCAUAUAUAUAUAUAUCCCUUAUGUCAUCUAUUUCUUUAUUUUUUCACAUACCAAGACCAAAAUAAGACCAUAAAAUUACCCUUAAGCUUUCUACAAGGGUUUCAAAUAAGAUUAACACCCCGCGUACACAUUAGAACAAUCCAUAAAACGUAAGUAUCGCUAUAUCGCUUCUCGUUUUCUUUGUAUUUUGAGUUUUGG
rnacentral:lncRNA from 1 species